rnacentral:rRNA from 1 species
GACGUAGGGCGCGAGCGUUGUCCGGAUUUAUUGGGCGUAAAGAGCUCGUAGGCGGCUUGUCGCGUCGACUGUGAAAACCCGCAGCUCAACUGCGGGCCUGCAGUCGAUACGGGCAGGCUAGAGUUCGGUAGGGGAGACUGGAAUUCCUGGUGUAGCGGUGAAAUGCGCAGAUAUCAGGAGGAACACCGGUGGCGAAGGCGGCUCUCUGGGACGGUACUGACGCUGAGACGCGAAAGCGUGGGGAGCGAACAGG